rnacentral:lncRNA from 1 species
UCCUGAUCUCAAGUGAUUCGCCCGCCUCAGCCUCCCAAAGUGCUGGGAUUACAGGCGUGAGCCACCAAACCCAGCCUAAAAAUCCAAAGUUAAAAAAAAAAUGCUUCAUACGCUUAACAAAUGUAUUACAUGAUUCCAUUUUUGCAACAUUAUAUAACUAUAGGCAUUGAGAAAUGCACCAAGGGCUGGGUGCAGUGGCUCACACUUGUAAUCUCAGCACUUUGGGAAGGCAAGGCAGGAGGAUUGCUUGAGGCCAGGAGUUCGAAACCAGCCUGGGCAACAUAGGGAGAAUGUCUCUACAGAAACAAAAAUAAUAAUAAUCAGCUGAGCGUGAUGUGUGCCUGUAGUUCCAGCUACUUGGGAGGCUGAGGCAGGAGGAUUGUUUGACCCCAAAGAGUUUGAGGCUGCAAUAAGCUGUGAUCACACCACUGCACUGAAGCCUGAGUGACAGAGGGAGACCCUGUCUCAAAAAAAAAAAAAAAAAAAAAAAAAAAAGGCUGGGUGCGGUGGCUCACACCUGUAAUCCCAGCACUUUGGGAGGCCGAGGCAGGCAGAUCAUGAGGUCAGGAGAUUGAGACCAUCCUGGCUAACACGGUGAAACCCCAUCUCUACUAAAAAUACAAAAAAAAAAAUAGCUGAGUGUGGUGGCAGGUGCCUGUAGUCCCAGCUACUCAGGAGGCUGAGGCAGGAGAAUGGCGUGAACCCGGGAGGCAGAGCUUGCAGUGAGCUGAGAUCACGCCACUGUACUCCAGCCUGGGCAACAGAGCGAGACUCCGUCUCAAAAAAUAAAAAAUAAAAAAUACAUUGAGGUGGCUCACAUCUAUAAUCCCAACUACUCAGAAGGCUGAAGUGGGAUCACUCAAGGCCAGGAAUUCAAGACCAGCCUGGGCAACAUGGGUAGACCUCUGUCUCUACAAAAAAUAAAAAAUUAGUUGGGUAUGGUAGUGUGAGCCUGUAGUCUCAGCUACUCAUGAGGACUGAGGUGGGAGGAUGGCUUGAGCCCCAGAGGCAGGGGUGGCAGUGAGUGGAGGUGACACCACUGCACUCCAGCCUGGGUGACAGAAUGAGAACCCAUCUCAAAAAACAAAAAAAGGCUGGGCACAGUAUUUCACACCUGUAAUCGCAACACUUUUGGAGGCCAAGGCAGGCAGAUCACUUGAGACCAGGAGUUCAAAACCAGCCUGUCCAACAUGGAGAAACCCCAUCUCUACUAAAAAGACAAAAAUUAGCCGGGUGUACUGGUGCACACCUGAAGUCCUAGCUACUCAGGAGGCUGAGGCAGGAGAAUCACCUGAACCCGUGAGGCAGAGGUUGCAGUGAGCCGAGAUCGCAUCACUGCACUCCAGUCAGGGCAACAGAGCAAGACUCCAAUCUCAAAAGAAAAAGAAAAACAGAAAAAGAUGCGGCCGGGCGCAGUGGCUCACACCUGUAAUCCCAGCACUUUGGGAGGCCGAGGCAGGCAGAUCACCUGAGGUCAGGAGUUCAAGACCAGUCUGCCCAACAUGGCAAAACCCCAUCUCUACUCAAAAUACAAAAAUUAGCCAGGCAUGCCUGUAAUCCCAGCUACUCAGGCGGCUGAGGCAGGAAAAUCACUUGAACCCAGGAAGGCGGAGGUUGUAGUGAGCCAAGAUCAGGCCACUGCACUCCAGCCUAGGUGACAGAGUGAGACUCCGUCUCAAAAAAAAAAAAAAAAAUUAAACGACACUUAACUGUGAGUCAGCCCUUCCACUCCAAACUAUUUACCCACAAGAAAUGAUAGAAUAUAUCCAACAAAGACAGGUACAUGAAUGUUUAUAGCAGCUUUAUUUGUAAUAGUUCACAACGGAACAUGGUCCAAAUGUCCAUCAACAGGUGAACAGCUAACCAAACUGGUGCAUCCAAACAAUGGAAUACUACUUGGCAAUAAAAAGGAAUAAAAUAUUAAUGCAUGCAACAGGGAUGACUCGCAAAUCCUUAUGCUCAGCUAAGCAAGAAGCCAGACAAAACACAAGUACAUACUGUGUGAUUCUAUUUACAUACAUUCUAGAAAGUGCAGAUUAACCUGUAGUGACAGAAAGCAGCACAGUUGUUACUUGGGGAUGGGAGGCAAGAAGCAGGAGGGUGGGCUUACCAAGGGCAUGGGAAACUUUCCAGAGUGAAGGGGAUGGUGAUUAUCUUGAUUGUGGAAAUAGCUUCACGGGUGUACACGUAUGUCAAAAGUCAUCACGUACACAUUUUUAUAUGCAGCUUAUUGUAUGCCAAUUAUGCCUCAAUAAAACUGUCUUUCAACAAUACACACUAGAAGGCAGCAACUGCAAAGUGGCAAUUCCAGAGUUCUGUGCAGGACGCUGCAGUGAUUCCGCCCCACUUGUUUUCACCAUCUAGGGAAACGUCCUCUUCGUUUUUGGUCUUGUCUUUCAAGCGAGUUCUAUUUUUUCGGUGAUUACUUUUAAAUAUUUUUUAAAAAUUUUUUUCCUUUUUUUUUUUUUCUUUUUGAGACAGGUUCUCACUCUGUCACCCAGGCUGGAGUGCAGUGGCAAGUUCAUAGCUCACUGCAGCCUUGAACUCCUAGGCUCAAGCAAUCCUCCCACCUUAGCCUCCAGAGUAGCUGGGACUGCAGGCGAGUGCCACCAUGUCCAGCUAAUUUGUGUAUCUUUUGUAGAGACAGGGUUUUGUCAUGUUGCCCAGGCUGGUCUAGAACUCCUGGGUUCAAGUGAUCUGCCUGCCUCAGUUUCCCAAAGUGCUGGGAUUACAGACAUGAACCACCAUGCCCAAACUAAAAUUUUAUGACAUAAUAUUUGAUACAUACAAAAGGAUGUGUGGCACCUUAUGUGAGUUAGGAACUGAGUUAUAACUUAAAUACCCAUGAACCUACCACCAAACCUGAGAGCUAAGAUAUUACCAAUACCUUUAAAAAUUCCUGGGCUCCUUCCUUAUCCCAUCCCA